UACGUAGGGUGCGAGCGUUGUCCGGAAUUACUGGGCGUAAAGGGUUUGUAGGUGGCUUGCUAAGUCAGACGUGAAAUCCCUCAGCUUAACUGGGGAACUGCGUCUGAUACUGGCGAGCUUGAGUGCAGGAGAGGAACGCGGAAUUCCAGGUGUAGCGGUGAAAUGCGUAGAUAUCUGGAGGAACACCGGUGGCGAAGGCGGCGUUCUGGACUGCAACUGACACUGAAAAACGAAAGCCAGGGGAGCAAACGGG
rnacentral:rRNA from 1 species